CUUAAAGUUUAUGGUAAAUUCACUCACAUAUGGUAAUUAUCUUCUGCACUAUUAAUUAGCUCACCAAAAAACAGGUUUAGCAAAGAAAAAUACGAUAUUUUUAAAAACCUGUCAUUGAGGGAGACUUUCCAGUGUUUCUAUUGAUCAGACAACGAAGACCACAUCAGCCAGCAUGCUGAAAAUGACCAGACCACCAAAAACUGUCUUGAAAUCAGUAGACUAAUAACUUCCCUAUAUACCUUCCCAUAUCCACUUCUCAACAAGGUUCCUUUAAAAAAAAAAAUUGGCAGGUGAAGUAGCCUGCUUUCUCUCUUGAGUGCAUGUCUGCAUUCCUAAAUAAACCAUAAACCUCAUUCUAUGCCUUUGACUGGUACAUGAUGGAAUUCUUUCCCAUCUUCCUAAGUCAAGGACCUGUUGGUCCAGGGUGGAGUUCCCCUUUGUCUCUGAGAACUCCUCAGGCCCUUCCUCCAGAGAGAUACCUUUGCCUAUGACACAAACACUUCACAAAGCAGCACUAUCUGCAGAGCAUACAUUGACUAUUAAACAUAGGCCCCAGAAACCCAGGUUGGCUUGGUUUCUUCAGACACUGAUCCUGAGGCAAGGAUUCUGGGGCAAAUGGUUUAUCUUGUAAGUUAAAUCAUUAAAUACCGGGAGAAGUAAAGUAGACAGGACAGGGGAGGAGUAAAGUGAGAACAGGGGAGGAGUAAAGUGUGAGUUUUUAAGCCAGUCGCCCACAGGGGUGACUUGGAGCUUAGCUCAGCUAGGCAACUCUAGGAGGUUGUGUCAAAUAUACCUGAGAACUAUCAUCAUCUAGGUGAAAGAAAACUGUGGUUUUCAUCCACUAAAUCCCUGCUAAUCGUUGGAUAAGAAAAGCUGCCAGGAACAUUCCAGCACUUCUGACUUUCCUACAUACUAUGCAGCCAGGACAAAAGUCCCACAGGCAAAGUGUUUCAGGUGUCCAGUCAUCCAAGCGGCUUUCAGCUUGGGGAGGUGAAUGCCAAGAGGAAAUUGGUUGGCACUAAUCUCAUCUCAACCUUUGAACCACAUUGUAGUGGGAAAUUGUCAGAUGGUAUGAUUGGCAUUCACAGGGGAAACAAGGCUCUUCAACAUAUGAAAAGAUUUUCUACUUCCUUCACUAUGAGAUGCAUGAAGAUUGAAACUGCAUUGAAAUGCUUCUUCGUACCUCACAGAUGAGCAAAAAUUCAAGUGUUUGAGCACACACUGUGUGGGUAAGGCAUAGAAACAUUUAUUCUCCUACAUUCAUCUUGGAUAUGCAAAGUAGGACCACCCUUGUGGAGAGCAAUUGGGCAACAUUUUUCAAAAUUAAAAAUGCAUAGUAGGUUUUGACUCAGGAGUCUCACUUCUGAGAAUUUAUCCCACAGAUAUACUUGCAGGCAUUCCAGAUGAAAAACAGUCAUUGCUAUUCCCUUUUCUUUUGUUCAUGAAUGAGAACAUUAUAAAAGCAGAAUAUGAGCAACUAUUCAAGCAUUCAUCUGUAGGUCUGGUUAAGCAGAG
rnacentral:lncRNA from 1 species